AUUGAACGCUGGCGGCAGGCCUAACACAUGCAAGUCGAGCGGGGUUUUCGGACCUAGCGGCGGACGGGUGAGUAAUGCGUAGGAAGCUACCCGAUAGAGGGGGAUACCAGUUGGAAACGACUGUUAAUACCGCAUAAUGUCUACGGACCAAAGUGUGGGACCUUCGGGCCACAUGCUAUCGGAUGCGCCUACGUGGGAUUAGCUAGUUGGUGAGGUAAUGGCUCACCAAGGCGACGAUCCCUAGCUGGUUUGAGAGGAUGAUCGGCCACACUGGAACUGGGACACGGUCCAGACUCCUACGGGAGGCAGAAGUGGGGAAUAUUGGACAAUGGGCGCAAGCCUGAUCCAGACAUGCCGCGUGUGUGAAGAAGGCCUUCGGGUUGUAAAGCACUUUCAGUAGGGAGGAAGCGUUGUGUGUUAAUAGUACACAGCGUUGACGUUACCUACAGAAGAAGCACCGGCUAACUCUGUGCCAGCAGCCGCCGUAAUAC
rnacentral:rRNA from 1 species